rnacentral:piRNA from 1 species
UGGGUGAACCACUGCUGUGACUAACGAGCC